rnacentral:rRNA from 1 species
AUUGAACGCUGGCGGCAUGCCUUACACAUGCAAGUCGAACGGCAGCACGGGAGCAAUCCUGGUGGCGAGUGGCGAACGGGUGAGUAAAGUAUCGGAACGUGCCCAGUCGUGGGGGAUAACGUAGCGAAAGUUACGCUAAUACCGCAUACGAUCUAUGGAUGAAAGCGGGGGAUCGCAAGACCUCGCGCGAUUGGAGCGGCCGAUAUCAGAUUAGGUAGUUGGUGGGGUAAAGGCCCACCAAGCCGACGAUCUGUAGCUGGUCUGAGAGGACGACCAGCCACACUGGGACUGAGACACGGCCCAGACUCCUACAGGAGGCAGCAGUAGGGAAUUUUGGACAAUGGGCGAAAGCCUGAUCCAGCCAUGCCGCGUGCAGGAUGAAGGCCUUCGGGUUGUAAACUGCUUUUGUACGGAACGAAAAGGACUGCCCUAAUACGGUGGUCCCAUGACGGUACCGUAAGAAUAAGCACCGGCUAACUACGUGCCAGCAGCCGCGGUAA